AGAAGAUAUAAAGAUCAACCUCAUGAUUGGUGGAUUACAUAUGGAGGAAUCGAUACCCCAAACCUACAAAAAUUUGCAAUAAGGGUAUUGAGUCUUACUUGUUCUGCUUCCCCGUGUGAGCGAAACUGGAGCACAUUUCAGAAUUUGCAUUCAAAGAAGCGAAAUCGCAUAAAGCAACAAAAAUUGAAUGAUAGCGUCUUUAUUCAAUACAACAAGAAAUUGGAACGUCGAUACAAAGAAAUCAGUCAAUAUAAUGAUGAUCCGAAAGCUCAUGAUCCCAUUUUUCUGGAUGAGCGUGAUGACAAUGAUGAAUGGUUGGCUUUAGAGAAUUUGGAUGACUUGGUUGUACAAGGAGAUAAUGUUAUUUU